rfam:Caulobacter crescentus CB15, complete genome.
AUCCGCUAGGCGGGGCUCUGGCUGGGUACGCUCGGCUUUAGAGCGCGCGGACCCGGCCGAUCCCGCGAGGCGAGGUCGGAUGGUGGUGGUGGCCGUGAUGGUGCGGCGUGCGGGUCAUUGCGGGGGCGGUGUAGCGGAUGGCGGCGGUGAGGGGAAGGGCUUCGUUCAAAGCC